AUUGAACGCUGGCGGCAUGCUUUACACAUGCAAGUCGAACGGCAGCACGAGCAUCGUCCUUGCGUCGAGUGGCGGACGGGUGAGUAAGGCAUCGGAACGUGCCCAGUAGUGGGGGAUAGGCCGACGAAAGCCGGAUGGAUACCGCAUACGACCUGAGUGUGAAAGCGGGGGACCGAAAGGCCUCGCGCUAUUGGCUCGGCCUGUGUCGGAUUAGCUAGUUGGUGGGGUAACGGCUUACCAAGGCGACGAUCCGUAGCUGGUCUGAGAGGACGACCAGCCACACUGGGACUGAGACACGGUCCAGACUCCUACGGGAGGCAGCAGUGGGGAAUUUUGGACAAUGGGCGCAACCCUGAUGCAGCCAUGCCGCGUGAGUGAAGAAGGCCUUCGGGUUGUAAACCGCUUUUGUUCGGGAAGAAAUCAUCUGGGCUAAUACCUCGGCGGGAUGACGGUACCGGAAGAAUAAGCACCGGCUAACUACGUG
rnacentral:rRNA from 1 species